CAGGUGUCCUUCGGCUGGCAGGGACCUCCCCAGAGCAUGAUCAGGCAGGCCACUGGCUCAAGGGCACACAGGCCCUGCAUGGGCCCUUCUAGGGUCCUAUGUGGUCUCCUACAGGGUGGAGAUCAUAUUGCUUACACAGCAGCCGAGUUCCCUUACACACCCCUUAAAGGCCCCAAAACAAAGAGCCCUCAUGGGCACCCUACUUGGGAUUCCCCUCCCAGCUAGCAGGAGCUUUACUUCUUUGUCUUUACUUUCUUGGCUUUAUAUCUUUUACCUUCUUGCCUUUACAUCUUUUAAAUAAAUUUGCCUGGAUCUUGCAUCCACUGUCCUUGGUUUCGCUCUGCGUCACCGUGGGCCAUGACCCCAGUGUUGUGGUAACAAUAAAGCUCUUCUCUCUGACUCUGAGGAGGAAGACAUUAGAGGACAGAAGCCAGGCUCCGGGAGAGGGAUGAGCAUCCUGCUGGCUCUCUGGCGGGGUUUCUUGGUAGGGUGCCCCAUUUUCUCUGGGACACUCUCACUUGGCCAGUACCAUCAAGGACCCCAGUGAUCCAGCCCAAGCAGACAGGAGCCUCCCAGUGAACUCUGCAAUUGGAGGAGGGCCCAAACACAGCCCUGACAAAGGCCAAGCCACCUACAAGGUCACACAGGCCCCAGUGUCUGCUCUGUGACCCGCUUCACAUGAUAGGCAUCUUCCCUGCAGAGAGACACCUUGGGGAGACAGAAGGCCCCACUCAGCAGCUGGGCACGGUGCCUCCAGGGUCUCUGCAGACUGGGGACAGAGCCUGCUUCUGCACUUGGCCCUGGGCAAGCUGUCCCUAGAGCCAUAGAAGAGGUUUGCAGACAGGUGGAGACAUAACAUAGAUGCAUCUGAAUCUGCAGGUGGUACUAUGACGGCCCGGAGGACCGGAUGUAGAGGGAUGGAUUUGAAUGACCACCUUGUCCUGGAUAGUCUGGGCCCAGUGGCCAACGGCUCCAUUUCUCUGAGCCUCAGCUUCUUUGCCUGUGAAAUGGGAGAACACCUGGCCAGCCUCCCUCACAGCACAGUCCCGAGGCAGAAAAGCCAGUUAAAGAUCACGCAAAUCAGAGGCAGUAUGCCAAGAUGUGGAAGACUCCCGAAAGGCACUUGGGCAAAAAAUGGACAUAAUCUGAGAAACAAAAGCCUGGAGAAGUUGAAUCAUGACCAGCUUGGAGACUGGAGGGGAGUGGGUGUGAAUGAAGCAAGGUGUGAGCAGGCUGCAAUUGAAAUGGCUGUGUGGCAUUCCUGGAUAGAGGGACUGUACUAG
rnacentral:lncRNA from 1 species